UACGAAGGGGGCUAGCGUUGCUCGGAAUCACUGGGCGUAAAGGGUGCGUAGGCGGGUCUUUAAGUCAGGGGUGAAGUCCUGGAGCUCAACUCCAGAACUGCCUUCGAUACUGGCGAUCUUGAGUCCGGGAGAGGUGAGUGGAACUCCGAGUGUAGAGGUGAAAUUCGUAGAUAUUCGGAAGAACACCAGUGGCGAAGGCGGCUCACUGGCCCGGUACUGACGCUGAGGUGCGAAAGCGUGGGGAGCAAACAGG
rnacentral:rRNA from 1 species